rnacentral:lncRNA from 1 species
GAUGAUGGCUCAGUUUGAGAGGCAGAGGGCUAUGCUUCAAGCUCUGAUUGAGCAGGGAGGUAGGUUAGAGGCCUCUAUGGCCAAUGACAUGUUCGAUGAUAUUUUUGCUACAGACUUUGCACCUGCCUGUCCACAGAGCCGAGUUCCAGAGCAUAGCCAUUUUGACAUCCCUCUAGCGGAUGAUCUAGUUGGCCCUCCCUCUCCAACUGAG